rnacentral:rRNA from 1 species
UACGGAGGGUGCGAGCGUUAAUCGGAAUCACUGGGCGUAAAGCGCGCGUAGGCGGCUUUUCAAGUCGGGGGUGAAAUCCCACGGCCCAACCGUGGAACUGCCUUUGAAACUGUAGAGCUUGAGUGUCGGAGAGGGUGGCGGAAUUCCAGGUGUAGGAGUGAAAUCCGUAGAUAUCUGGAGGAACACCGGUGGCGAAGGCGGCCACCUGGACGACAACUGACGCUGAGGUGCGAAAGCGUGGGUAGCAAACAGG